rnacentral:rRNA from 1 species
UACGGGGGGGGCAAGCGUUGUUCGGAAUUACUGGGCGUAAAGGGCUCGUAGGCGGCCAACUAAGUCAGACGUGAAAUCCCCAGGCUCAACCUGGGAACUGCGUCUGAUACUGGAUGGCUUGAAUUCGGGAGAGGGAUGCAGAAUUCCAGGUGUAGCGGUGAAAUGCGUAGAUAUCUGGAGGAAUACCGGUGGCGAAGGCGGCAUCCUGGACCGACAUUGAUGCUGAUGAGCGAAAGCUAGGGGAGCAAACGGG